rnacentral:tmRNA from 1 species
GGGGACGCAACGGUUUCGACGGGGACGCCGAACAUUGAGGAGCGAGUAGUGGUGCGGUGCCACUUAAAAAGCCGCAAUUUUUAAAAUUAAACGACAAUAGUCAAUUAGCUGCUGCCUAAUUAAGGCAGCUGUCUGUCCAUCGGUUACCGCACCUUUGGAACGGGCAUCAUUUAAGCGGUGAACGUGAGCCGGUUAAGCUUUGCGCCGGCCAUGACCUAUGAAGCUACUGAACGCGCAAGGUUGCUUAUGAGCUUGCGCGGGAGGGAAUGUUGAUCAUAAGCUGCACUCGGAGAGCCUGAAUCGGAAGUGUUUUCGGACAGGAGUUCGAUUCUCCUCGUCUCCACCA